GAUGAAGAACGCAGCGAAAUGCGAUACUUGGUGUGAAUUGCAGAAUCCCGUGAACCAUCGAGUCUUUGAACGCAAGUUGCGCCCGAAGCCACUAGGCCGAGGGCACGCCUGCCUGGGCGUCACACGUCGUUGCCCCCCCCCCAUCUACUCCUUCGGGAUUGCGGGGGGCGGAUGAUGGCCUCCCGUGCGCCUAGCCGCGCGGUUGGCAUAAAUACCAAGUCCUCGGCGACGCACGCCACGACAAUCGGUGGUUGCGAAACCUCGGUUGCCCGUCGUGUGCGUUCGCCGCGCAUCGAGGGCUCGAAAAAAUGCUCGGCUCCGGCUCGGCUUUCAACGCGACCCCAGGUCAGGCGGGGUUACCCGCUGAAUUUAAGCAUAUCAAUAAGCGGAGGA
rnacentral:misc_RNA from 1 species